rnacentral:rRNA from 1 species
GGGUUGUGAGGUUAAGCGACUAAGCGUACACGGUGGAUGCCCUGGCAGUCAGAGGCGAUGAAGGGCGUGCUAAUCUGCGAUAAGCGCCGGUAAGGUGAUAUGAACCGUUAUAACCGGCGAUACCCGAAUGGGGAAACCCAGUGUGAUUCGUCACACUAUCAUUAACUGAAUCCAUAGGUUAAUGAGGCGAACCGGGGGAACUGAAACAUCUAAGUACCCCGAGGAAAAGAAAUCAACCGAGAUUCCCCCAGUAGCGGCGAGCGAACGGGGAGGAGCCCAGAGCCUGAAUCAGCAUGUGUGUUAGUGGAAGCGUCUGGAAAGGCGCGCGAUACAGGGUGACAGCCCCGUACACAAAAGCGCAUGUGCUGUGAGCUCGAUGAGUAGGGCGGGACACGUGGUAUCCUGUCUGAAUAUGGGGGGACCAUCCUCCAAGGCUAAAUACUCCUGACUGACCGAUAGUGAACCAGUACCGUGAGGGAAAGGCGAAAAGAACCCCGGCGAGGGGAGUGAAAAAGAACCUGAAACCGUGUACGUACAAGCAGUGGGAGCCCCACCACUAAGCCAGUGGUGAACUCCACAUCCGCAUCCUUUGCUGAGGAUACGGUUAAACGGAGCGAAAGCGACGUUCAACCGCAAAACAAGCAGAGGGGGCUUAGUGGUGGGGUGACUGCGUACCUUUUGUAUAAUGGGUCAGCGACUUAUAUUCUGUAGCAAGGUUAACCGAAUAGGGGAGCCGGAGGGAAACCGAGUCUUAAUUGGGCGUUAAGUUGCAGGGUAUAGACCCGAAACCCGGUGAUCUAGCCAUGGGCAGGUUGAAGGUUGGGUAACACUAACUGGAGGACCGAACCGACUAAUGUUGAAAAAUUAGCGGAUGACCUGUGGCUGGGGGUGAAAGGCCAAUCAAACCGGGAGAUAGCUGGUUCUCCCCGAAAGCUAUUUAGGUAGCGCCUCGUGAAUUCAUCUCCGGGGGUAGAGCACUGUUUCGGCUAGGGGGCCAUCCCGGCUUACCAACCCGAUGCAAACUGCGAAUACCGGAGAAUGUUAUCACGGGAGACACACGGCGGGUGCUAACGUCCGUCGUGAAGAGGGAAACAACCCAGACCGCCAGCUAAGGUCCCAAAGUCAUGGUUAAGUGGGAAACGAUGUGGGAAGGCCCAGACAGCCAGGAUGUUGGCUUAGAAGCAGCCAUCAUUUAAAGAAAGCGUAAUAGCUCACUGGUCGAGUCGGCCUGCGCGGAAGAUGUAACGGGGCUAAACCAUGCACCGAAGCUGCGGCAGCGAACGUAUCACUUAAAGCGAUUCAGCGGGUUACGAUUGACGGAGCGAAGCGACGUCAAAGCGUAUACAAAGUCGAGUCGGUUUAAGGAUACGUUCGUUGGGUAGGGGAGCGUUCUGUAAGCCCGUGAAGGUGGCCUGUGAGGGUUGCUGGAGGUAUCAGAAGUGCGAAUGCUGACAUAAGUAACGAUAAAGCGGGUGAAAAGCCCGCUCGCCGGAAGACCAAGGGUUCCUGUCCAACGUUAAUCGGGGCAGGGUGAGUCGACCCCUAAGGCGAGGCCGAAAGGCGUAGUCGAUGGGAAACGGGUUAAUAUUCCCGUACUUGGUGUUACUGCGAAGGGGGGACGGAGAAGGCUAUGUUGGCCGGGCGACGGUUGUCCCGGUUUAAGCGUGUAGGUGUGUGUUCCAGGUAAAUCCGGUUCACUUUAACACUGAGGCGUGACGACGAGGCACUACGGUGCUGAAGCAACAAAUGCCCUGCUUCCAGGAAAAGCCUCUAAGCAUCAGGUAACACGAAAUCGUACCCCAAACCGACACAGGUGGUCAGGUAGAGAAUACCAAGGCGCUUGAGAGAACUCGGGUGAAGGAACUAGGCAAAAUGGUGCCGUAACUUCGGGAGAAGGCACGCUGACACGUAGGUGAAGUGAUUUACUCAUGGAGCUGAAGUCAGUCGAAGAUACCAGCUGGCUGCAACUGUUUAUUAAAAACACAGCACUGUGCAAACACGAAAGUGGACGUAUACGGUGUGACGCCUGCCCGGUGCCGGAAGGUUAAUUGAUGGGGUCAGCGCAAGCGAAGCUCCUGAUCGAAGCCCCGGUAAACGGCGGCCGUAACUAUAACGGUCCUAAGGUAGCGAAAUUCCUUGUCGGGUAAGUUCCGACCUGCACGAAUGGCGUAAUGAUGGCCAGGCUGUCUCCACCCGAGACUCAGUGAAAUUGAACUCGCUGUGAAGAUGCAGUGUACCCGCGGCAAGACGGAAAGACCCCGUGAACCUUUACUAUAGCUUGACACUGAACAUUGAGCCUUGAUGUGUAGGAUAGGUGGGAGGCUUUGAAGUGUGGACGCCAGUCUGCAUGGAGCCGACCUUGAAAUACCACCCUUUAAUGUUUGAUGUUCUAACGUGGACCCGUAAUCCGGGUUGCGGACAGUGUCUGGUGGGUAGUUUGACUGGGGCGGUCUCCUCCUAAAGAGUAACGGAGGAGCACGAAGGUUGGCUAAUCCUGGUCGGACAUCAGGAGGUUAGUGCAAUGGCAUAAGCCAGCUUGACUGCGAGCGUGACGGCGCGAGCAGGUGCGAAAGCAGGUCAUAGUGAUCCGGUGGUUCUGAAUGGAAGGGCCAUCGCUCAACGGAUAAAAGGUACUCCGGGGAUAACAGGCUGAUACCGCCCAAGAGUUCAUAUCGACGGCGGUGUUUGGCACCUCGAUGUCGGCUCAUCACAUCCUGGGGCUGAAGUAGGUCCCAAGGGUAUGGCUGUUCGCCAUUUAAAGUGGUACGCGAGCUGGGUUUAGAACGUCGUGAGACAGUUCGGUCCCUAUCUGCCGUGGGCGCUGGAGAACUGAGGGGGGCUGCUCCUAGUACGAGAGGACCGGAGUGGACGCAUCACUGGUGUUCGGGUUGUCAUGCCAAUGGCACUGCCCGGUAGCUAAAUGCGGAAGAGAUAAGUGCUGAAAGCAUCUAAGCACGAAACUUGCCCCGAGAUG